rnacentral:rRNA from 1 species
UGGGGAAUAUUGGACAAUGGGGGAAACCCUGAUCCAGCCAUGCCGCGUGAGUGAUGAAGGCCUUAGGGUUGUAAAGCUCUUUCGCCAGGGAAGAUAAUGACGGUACCUGGAAAAGAAGCCUCGGCUAACUCCGUGCCAGCAGCCGCGGUAAGACGGAGGAGGCUAGCGUUGUUCGGAAUUACUGGGCGUAAAGCGUGCGCAGGUUGUGAGUUCAGUUGGAUGUGAAAGCCCGGGGCUUAACCUCGGAUGUGCAUCCAAUACUGGCUCGCUGGAGGUUGGAAGAGGAGAGUGGAAUUCCCAGUGUAGAGGUGAAAUUCGUAGAUAUUGGGAAGAACACCAGUGGCGAAGGCGGCUCUCUGGUCCAUACCUGACACUCAUGCACGAAAGCGUGGGGAGCAAA